GCCCUUGUGGUGAAAUGGAUAUCAUCACGGUCUUCGGAACCGCUGUUGCAGGUUCGAAUCCUGCCAAGGGCACAA
rnacentral:tRNA from 1 species